rnacentral:lncRNA from 1 species
CAAUAAACCAAUUGGACUUGAUCCAAUUAAGUCCAAACUAAAUCUAAUUAAAUCAUAUUCAAUUAGAUUUAAUUUCAAUCCAUUGGCUUAAUCAAAUUAAGUCAAUUAGCAAUCAAAUUGCUAAUCGAUCCUCCUGCAACACUUGCACUAGGUUAAAUGUCAAUCGUAUUGAUCAUUUAACUCUAGAACGAUUCUUAAUUGUUGAUCAACCAU